AAGGAAGAAGGCUGCCAAAAAGGCCAGGACUCUUCGCGAGAUAAACCCUGAAAGCGACGAGGAGGUCCUUCCUGAGGUAAACCCACAACCAAUUCCUCCAACUGAACCCACAACAACAACCUCUGAACCAACCCCACCAACUUCUGAACCAACCCCAAAAAAGAGGAGUCUCCUUGACGAAUCCACACGAUCGGGCGAAAGUCCUUCGUGCUAAAAAAUUAAGAAGCAAAAUAAUUCCCCUUACCGCCGACGAACUCCGCGUCCCUCCACUUUCAACAACCAAUCCUUCAAAUGAAACCCCAACACUUGAUGCUGAGCCGGUCGAAGCCGACCCUUCUUUGUCCCGAAAAAGAAAACAGCCUUCGGACGGCCAGCCCGGUUCGACCUCGGAACCUUCUUCAACUCCCGAGCCGAUACCAGCUCGAUCACCUUCUCCAGAGGCAAUACGUGCAGAUCCCUCACCGGUUCGCAGUCAGCCUAUGCCUCCUCCUCAAGGACCGAUGACUUCCGAAUUCCAGCAUGAUGUCAUGGGUCCACCGACCAUGUGGCCUGGGUUCAACGCCAAUUUCCCCUUUCAACUGUUCGAAGCCUUCGUUCGUGAGACCGAUGACCAUCGGUUCGGGAACAGUUCGAAUGGGGACUUGCUCAGCGAAGGCAUGAGCUACUUGGCUAAGGUAAAAUGACUCUUUCCUUCCUUUGCUUACUUAUUUUCAUACUCACACAUCUGAAGCUGAUUGAAUAACACUGAACAUGUACAGGCAAAUGCUGUAUUCGGACGUCUGCGUCCCAGAUCUCUCCAAGCUGAAUCCGAGGAGGAGGCGCUGAGGAAGGAAAAUUCCCUCUUAAAAUCUGUCCUGGCUCGGGAAAGGACUCACCGUGAAGGCCUUCUUCAUACUAACGAAGGUCUUCAGAAUGCUGAAAUUGUCAACAUGAAUGUCGACUUAGUUCAGAGGAGUGAACUGAGGAUGAAUAAGAUCAAGGAGUUAAAGUCCAA
rnacentral:lncRNA from 1 species